rnacentral:rRNA from 1 species
UACGUAGGGUGCAAGCGUUAAUCGGAAUUACUGGGCGUAAAGCGUGCGCAGGCGGUUUUGUAAGUCUGACGUGAAAGCCCCGGGCUCAACCUGGGAAUUGCGUUGAAGACUGCAAGGCUUGAAUCUGGCAGAGGGGGGUAGAAUUCCACGUGUAGCAGUGAAAUGCGUAGAGAUGUGGAGGAACACCGAUGGCGAAGGCAGCCCCCUGGGUCAAGAUUGACGCUCAUGCACGAAAGCGUGGGGAGCAAACAGG